rnacentral:rRNA from 1 species
GAUGAACGCUGGCGGCGUGCCUAAUACAUGCAAGUCGAGCGAACAGAUGAGGAGCUUGCUCCUCUGACGUUAGCGGCGGACGGGUGAGUAACACGUGGAUAACCUACCUAUAAGACUGGGAUAACUUCGGGAAACCGGAGCUAAUACCGGAUAAUAUAUUGAACCGCAUGGUUCAAUAGUGAAAGACGGUUUUGCUGUCACUUAUAGAUGGAUCCGCGCCGCAUUAGCUAGUUGGUAAGGUAACGGCUUACCAAGGCAACGAUGCGUAGCCGACCUGAGAGAGUGAUCGGCCACACUGGAACUGAGACACGGUCCAGACUCCUACGGGAGGCAGCAGUAGGGAAUCGUCCGCAAUGGGCGAAAGCCUGACGGAGCAACGCCGCGUGAGUCAUGAAGGUCUUCGGAUCGUAAAACUCUGUUAUUAGGGAAGAACAAAUGUGUAAGUAACUAUGCACGUCUUGACGGUACCUAAUCAGAAAGCCACGGCUAACUACGUG